rnacentral:rRNA from 1 species
UACGUAGGGUGCGAGCGUUGUCCGGAAUUAUUGGGCGUAAAGGGCUCGUAGGCGGUUUGUCGCGUCUGCCGUGAAAGUCCGGGACUCAACUCCGGAUCUGCGGUGGGUACGGGCAGACUAGAGUGCGGUAGGGGAGACUGGAAUUCCUGGUGUAGCGGUGAAAUGCGCAGAUAUCAGGAGGAACACCGGUGGCGAAGGCGGGUCUCUGGGCCGUAACUGACGCUGAGGAGCGAAAGCAUGGGGAGCGAACAGG